CAGCAGCCGCGGUAAAACGGAGGGGGCUAGCGUUGUUCGGAAUUACUGGGCGUAAAGCGCACGUAGGCGGCUUGGUAAGUUAGAGGUGAAAGCCCGGAGCUCAACUCCGGAAUUGCCUUUAAGACUGCCGAGCUAGCAGGUGAGAGAGGUAAGUGGAAUUCCGAGUGUAGAGGUGAAAUUCGUAGAUAUUCGGAAGAACACCAGUGGCGAAGGCGGCUUACUGGCUCAUACUGGACGCUGAGGUGCGAAAGCGUGGGGAGCAAACAGGAUUAGAUACCCCCGUAGUCCCUGUCUCUUAUAC
rnacentral:rRNA from 1 species